GCUUCUUUAACUGAAGCUUUUCAAGAUCCUGAGGAGAAUACCCAGUGAAGCUGAGCCUGGACACCUGACCGUGGACCCUGAAAGUACAAGACAUCUGCUGCAGCUCAGCGAUAGAAGUGUGGCCAGGGAGUGACUCAGCUGCUGACUGAAACCCUCAUGGAGGCAGAACUGAGGAACCCUGGGUACAGUGUGCAGCCUAUCCUCAGAGCUGACUUUCCAGGCCCGCUUUUACUGGAGCAGAAUACUGAAACAAUGCCUUCAUGACGCUUCCUGCCAACAUUCCUCCCAGCACUGGGUUCACC